AUACGGAGGGGGCUAGCGUUGUUCGGAAUUACUGGGCGUAAAGCGCGCGUAGGCGGCUAAGUAAGUCGGAUGUGAAAGCCCUGGGCUUAACCUGGGAAUUGCAUUCGAUACUGCUUGGCUAGAGUAUGGUAGAGGAUAGUGGAAUUCCUGGUGUAGCGGUGAAAUGCGUAGAUAUCGGAAGGAACAUCAGCGGCGAAGGCGGCUACCUGGGCCAAUCCUGACACUGAGGCACGAAAGCUGGGGGAGCAAACCGGAUUAGAAACCCGAGUAGUCC
rnacentral:rRNA from 1 species